rnacentral:tRNA from 1 species
GACUUAAUACUUUAAAUUAAAAGAUCUGAUUUGCAUUCAGAAAAUAGAUUUUAUUAAUCUUUAGGUCA